UCCGGCUUAUCACCGGCGGUUUCUUUAGAGUGCCCAACUAAAUGAUGGCAACUAAAGACGAGGGUUGCGCUCGUUGCGGGACUUAACCCAACAUCUCACGACACGAGCUGACGACAGCCAUGCAGCACCUGUGUUACGGUUCUCUUUCGAGCACUCCCACCUCUCAGCAGGAUUCCGUACAUGUCAAGGGUAGGUAAGGUUUUUCGCGUUGCAUCGAAUUAAUCCACAUCAUCCACCGCUUGUGCGGGUCCCCGUCAAUUCCUUUGAGUUUUAGCCUUGCGGCCGUACUCCCCAGGCGGGACACUUAACGCGUUAGCUGCGGCACUGACGAGCAAGCUCGCCAACGUCUAGCACCCAUCGUUUACGGCGUGGACUAC
rnacentral:misc_RNA from 1 species